GGGGAGAGCCAGCAGAGAGGGAGCCAGCGAGCGGGCGCCGCGCCUCCUGGCUGGCACCGCGGCCUGGAGCGAAGUGGCGCGCGGGGCUCAGAGGGAACUUCUGCCGGCGCGUGCGGCCCCGGGCUCCGCGGCGCCUCCGGGCCCGGGCGGGGCGAGCCUCUCGGCAGCCACAGGUGGUUCCUGCCAAAAGUUUUUGCUGUACUUCUGCUGGGAAGGAGUGCUGGAGAGCAUUUUGGGCAGUGGCGGUCUUCUGUUACUUGGACACCCUAACCUCGCGCUAUCUUUUCUUGGACAUUGAGAAAGGGGCUGUCAAAGGUGGAGGGGAAUCCGGCACUUCUCAAUGAGGACCGAGGGUUGCCUGGCGGCCCGGAUCCAGGGGACGCUCAGAAGAGCAUCUCAGCUGCGGGCACCUGGGCAGGUUGAGAUAAAUGGGCGCACGAAGGAACGUAUUACCUCCGGGCCUUGAUAAAGCUAAGCAUAGCCCUCCCGGGAACCUGUCAUCCCCGCUGGGCGACGGGAGAUCUCUUCCUAGUGACACUCGCGGUGGAGAUCUCUUUCUAGCGACAGACACGGAAACCCUGUGCGCGUCUUUGCUCGCCUGAGUGCGCGUCUCUUGCUGGGUUGACAGCGAAUCGUCUCUGAUCUCUACGAGGCUUUGUUAUUCGCGCUGUUGGUUUGGUUUCACCAGGAAGAAGGCCGGUAGCAGCCCCGAAGGAAUCGCCCAGCUCCCUCACCUUUCGUGUCUUCAUAGCUGUGGAGACAAGCACUCAAUCAAGCGUCAGGUCCACAGCUCAAGGCCGAAGCAGCUGUGGUCCGUGGCUUGUGCUAUCAUUACAAAGCUAGGGCUGGGGGCUUGGGGGCUUCUGGGACAGAGAGGAGAGCGGAACCGGGAUGAGAUAAAACACUUAAAAGAGGACGUGUUGUGUCCAGCUUUGAGAGAGAAAGUGUGAGGUUCUGUGCAUUGGCUCCGUGUUGGCCGGCUAACUAUCCAGGGCAGCCAGGUAGAACCACCAGGGUAGGUCAGGCUUAGACUGAAAGGAACCAUUAUUCCCAGAGAGGGUCUGAUACCUGGGUGUUGCAAGUAGGUACAAAACCGCGGUGAGUUGGAAACACUCAGUCCUUCAUUCUCCUUGGUCCUAGUCACACUCUGGAUUCCCUUGCUGUACCCACAAAGCAGGGAAGGGCUCUCUGCUUUAAAGGAGGCCACAAGAUUUGGAGAAAGAAACUCUAGGCGUGAGGAGAACUCAUUCUACGAUGAGCAAUCCUAAGACCAAGGAAGGGAGUGACCUACCACAGUGGUAAUGGAGCAUGGAAAGUAGAAAUGACAGCAGCCCAGGCCGGCUUGGACAGAAGUCCCUGGGGCAAGGCCUUGUGGGCUUGUCUACAGACAAGCUACUCCCAGACCCUGAGCUCAUUAUGGGCUUAUUAUCUGCUACUUUGUACAUUCCUGUUUUCCAUCGAAGAUACUCCAUUUCCUGUCCCCUGUCCUUGACCCAACAGGACCAGGACAGCCACUGCAAAGUCCAGUGUGACGUGGUCCCAACUUUUCCUGUACCCUCGUUGUCCCAAAUCCCCCAGAUUCCUUGGGCAACAUAAUGCGGCUUGAUUAGCCAAGACGAGCCUCCAGCUUGUCACGCUGAAGCACCCACUUUCUCUUGGAUGCCAGAACUGUUUUCCUGGUAAUUAGGUUUUACAGAUAUUUUUGAAAGGGAGCCCAAUUUUGGAUCAAUUACACUUGGACACACAUUCAGUGCUGUUGUGGAUAGCAAACGAGAGAGAUGAGCAAUUAUCUGGGGGUGUUGGAAUGAGUGUUGUUAUGGGUAUUUGACAUAACUAUUAAGCAUCAAUGAAUGGGUUCUCAGUAAAUGUUUUUUUUUUACUCUGUAUUUUAUUGAGUAAACAAGUGUCUUAAUU
rnacentral:lncRNA from 1 species